UUCCCUAGAAUGUUUGUCCCAGAUUCUUCC
rnacentral:piRNA from 1 species